rnacentral:rRNA from 1 species
GAUGAACGCUAGCGGCGGGCUUAAUACAUGCAAGUCGAGGGGCAGCACGAUGUAGCAAUACAUUGGUGGCGACCGGCGGACGGGUGCGUAACACGUAUGCAACUUGCCCUAUACUAGGGAAUAGCCCGAAGAAAUUCGGAUUAAUACCCUAUAACAUCUGAAAAGGCAUCUUUUUGGGUUCAAAGCUCCGGCGGUAUAGGAUGGGCAUGCGGUCGAUUAGCUUGUUGGUGAGGUAAUAGCACACCAAGGCGACGAUCGAUAGGGGGCCUGAGGGGGGGCUCCCCCACACUGGUAAUGAGACACGGACCAGACUCCUACGGGAGGCAGCAGUAAGGAAUAUUGGUCCAUGGGCGCAAGCCUGAACCAGCCACGCCGCGUGAAGGAAGACGGCCCUAUGGGUUGUAAACUUCUUUUCUACGGGAAUAAACCUCAGGACGUUUCCUGAGCUGAAGGUAUCGUAGGAAUAAGGAUCGGCUAACUCCGUGCCAGCAGCCGCAGUAACAC